AACGAACGCUGGCGGCAGGCUUAACACAUGCAAGUCGAGCGCCCCGCAAGGGGAGCGGCAGACGGGUGAGUAACGCGUGGGAAUCUACCCAUCUCUACGGAAUAACGCAUGGAAACGUGUGCUAAUACCGUAUACGUCUUUCGGGUGAAAGAUUUAUCGGAGAUGGAUGAGCCCGCGUUGGAUUAGCUAGUUGGUGGUGUAAAGGCCUACCAAGGCGACGAUCCAUAGCGGGUCUGAGAGGAUGAUCAGCCAAACUGGGACUGAGACACGGCCCAGACUCCUACGGGAGGCAGCAGUGGGGAAUAUUGGACAAUGGGCGCAAGCCUGAUCCAGCCAUGCCGCGUGAGUGAUGAAGGCCCUAGGGUUGUAAAGCUCUUUCACCGGUGAAGAUAAUGACGGUAACCGGAGAAGAAGCCCCGGCUAACUUCGUGCCAGCCGCCGCAGUAACAC
rnacentral:rRNA from 1 species